rnacentral:rRNA from 1 species
CAGUCGCCACGGUAAAACGGAGGGGGCUAGCGUUGUUCGGAAUUACUGGGCGUAAAGCGCACGUAGGCGGUUUUGUAAGUCAGAGGUGAAAGCCCGGAGCUCAACUCCGGAACUGCCUUUGAGACUGCAUCACUUGAACGUCGGAGAGGUGAGUGGGAUUCCGAGUGUAGAGGUGAAAUUCGUAGAUAUUCGGAAGAACACCAGUGGCGAAGGCGGCUCACUGGACGACUGUUGACGCUGGGGUGCGAAAGCGUGGGGAGCAAACAGGAUUAGAGACCCCGGUAGUCCCUGUCUCUUAUAC